rnacentral:tRNA from 1 species
AAGAUUCUAGUAAAACUAUUACAUCUCCUUGUCAAGGAAAAGUUGUGGGUUAGACCCCCACGUAUCUUA